UAUUAAAUUCAUCAAGCGGGCAUAAAAUAAAGGCCAAAAUUGAACAACCUUCUAAAAAUAGAUGAUUAGAUUCUUCAAUUCAAAAAUCCAACUAAUUUCGAUUUUUUUUACACAGUUAAAUUAGUAAGUAUUUCAUACCGGCUGUUAAAAAUUAUUAAUUUGAAAAUCUUUUGAUCGUAAGGUAAAAGACACCGAAAAAUUAUGAAAUUUAAUUUUUAGAAAUUUUAAAUACUCUAAAUCAUGUUUAACAAGAUGAAUCAUGGACUCAUAAAUUUUAUCAUCGAAAAUAAUUUAUAAGUACGACUUAUAAAUAAGAAGAGGGUGUGUGUGUGUUGCUCUAAAUCAAUUUAAUGA
rnacentral:lncRNA from 1 species